rnacentral:rRNA from 1 species
UACGUAGGGUGCAAGCGUUAAUCGGAAUUACUGGGCGUAAAGCGUGCGCGGGCGGUUUUGUAAGUCUGUCGUGAAAGCCCCGGGCUCAACCUGGGAAUUGCGAUGGAGACUGCAAGGCUUGAAUCUGGCAGAGGGGGGUAGAAUUCCACGUGUAGCAGUGAAAUGCGUAGAGAUGUGGAGGAACACCGAUGGCGAAGGCAGCCCCCUGGGUCAAGAUUGACGCUCAUGCACGAAAGCGUGGGGAGCGAUCCGG